rnacentral:rRNA from 1 species
CCUACGGGGAGCAGCAGUGGGGAAUAUUGGACAAUGGGCGAAAGCCUGAUCCAGCCAUGCCGCGUGUGUGAAGAAGGCCUUCGGGUUGUAAAGCACUUUCGGUGGGGAAGAAAGCCUUGGGGCUAAUACCCUCGAGGAAGGACAUCACCCACAGAAGAAGCACCGGCUAACUCCGUGCCAGCAGCCGCGGUAAUACGGAGGGUGCGAGCGUUAAUCGGAAUUACUGGGCGUAAAGCGCGCGUAGGCGGUCUGAUAAGCCGGUUGUGAAAGCCCCGGGCUCAACCUGGGAACGGCAUCCGGAACUGUCAGGCUAGAGUGCAGGAGAGGAAGGUAGAAUUCCCGGUGUAGCGGUGAAAUGCGUAGAGAUCGGGAGGAAUACCAGUGGCGAAGGCGGCCUUCUGGACUGACACUGACGCUGAGGUGCGAAAGCGUGGGUAGCAAACAGGAUUAGAUACCCCAGUAGUC